AGAUCAAUGCUUGGAAAUUGAGAGGUCAACUUAUAAGACAUGCAGAUUAUUACUUCAGUUUUCUCCGGUAUCAUCUCUGCGUUCCAGUAACAGAUCAGUAAGUUAUGUUAUUCUGUCUCAUAGAUUAUAUAGUCCAAGGCUUCGUGUUACGAGUGCAUCUUUUUCUCAUUGCUAACCCUUUGUGGUUAAGUUUUUUUUCUUGGAACUGCGCAAGCGUCUUUGCUUUGACAAGCUUGGAUUCUUCAUAUUUUUGGGUCCAAACUAUGGAGACAGCCAUCCUGAUGUGUUUACAAAGCAGUUGCUUAAUUUCAAUAUUAUGGACUCUCAACUUUCAUGAGCAAUUACUUGAAUUCAUAUUAUGAAUCCUAAAGAAAAUCUUGAUGCAGACGGUAAAACAUUCUGGUCAAGGUGAAGCUGCAUCGGAGGCCGUCGAAUUUUGCUUACGAGCUCUGGAAGAUUUCGACUUGGCAAUACACGAAUCACUAAGCAAUGGGUCAGCAUCUAUUGAAGCCAUGAGGAGCAAAAUCAUUGACAUCAUUGAAGCUUUGGACAAUAUCUUGCAAAUUGUGCCAUUAAAGAUGAUGCCGAAAGGAAGGAUGCUCGGAGAUGCCAGCGACCAAAAAAGAGGACAAACAGUAUAUGAAACUUGUGAGAAACCGAGCCGUGAAGGAGCUGUGGUCUUGGGUCGUCGCUGGUUCCUGUCUCUUAUUUGCUGGUUACUCAUAUCGAUAGUGUUCUUAUGUAAUCUCCCUUGGGAAAUCGUCACUGGAGUCGUUAUCUUAAUCUCAUCAUACUUAUAUGUGAUCUUUGCAGUUUGUAGAUGACGAUGCAUGAUACGGUCAGUACCCUCGGUAGGGUUGCUAACAUGGUUGGAAGUCUCAAAUCCGGGGUCACACAAGGGUUUUACCCAUGUUCGGGCUUCCGGUGAUGAGUAAUACCCUAUGUCCUGCUUGUUACUGUUAUUCAUGGUGAGUGUACCUUGUGGGAGGGAUUGCAAUGAAGAGUAUGAUAUCCUAC